GUUGUAUCAUAAACAAGCACUUAUAUAAUUGUCGUAAUAUGGACGACGCGUUUCUACCUGACUGCCGUAAACAGUCGGACUAUAAGUGAGGCAUAGGCAUGA
rnacentral:ncRNA from 2 species